AACGCUAGCUACAGGCUUAACACAUGCAAGUCGAGGGGCAGCAUGAACUUAGCUUGCUAAGUUUGAUGGCGACCGGCGCACGGGUGAGUAACGCGUAUCCAACCUUCCGCUUACUCGGGAAUAGCCUUUCGAAAGAAAGAUUAAUACCCGAUGGUAUCUUAAGCGCACAUGCAAAUAAGAUUAAAGAUUUAUCGGUAAGCGAUGGGGAUGCGUUCCAUUAGAUAGUAGGCGGGGUAACGGCCCACCUAGUCGACGAUGGAUAGGGGUUCUGAGAGGAAGGUCCCCCACAUUGGAACUGAGACACGGUCCAAACUCCUACGGGAGGCAGCAGUGAGGAAUAUUGGUCAAUGGGCGCGAGCCUGAACCAGCCAAGUAGCGUGAAGGAUGAAGGUCCUACGGAUUGUAAACUUCUUUUAUAAGGGAAUAAAGUCACCUACGUGUAGGUGUUUGUAUGUACCUUAUGAAUAAGCAUCGGCUAACUCCGUGCCAGCAGCCGCGGUAAUACGGAGGAUGCGAGCGUUAUCCGGAUUUAUUGGGUUUAAAGGGAGCGUAGACGGGUCGUUAAGUCAGCUGUGAAAGUUUACGGCUCAACCGUGAAAUUGCAGUUGAUACUGUAUGUCUUGAGUGUACAAGAGGUGGGCGGAAUUCGUGGUGUAGCGGUGAAAUGCUUAGAUAUCACGAAGAACUCCGAUUG
rnacentral:rRNA from 1 species